AGCGAACGCUGGCGGCAGGCUUAACACAUGCAAGUCGAACGGGCGUAGCAAUACGUCAGUGGCAGACGGGUGAGUAACGCGUGGGAACGUACCUUUUGGUUCGGAACAACCCAGGGAAACUUGGGCUAAUACCGGAUAAGCCCUUACGGGGAAAGAUUUAUCGCCGAAAGAUCGGCCCGCGUCUGAUUAGCUAGUUGGUGAGGUAACGGCUCACCAAGGCGACGAUCAGUAGCUGGUCUGAGAGGAUGAUCAGCCACAUUGGGACUGAGACACGGCCCAAACUCCUACGGGAGGCAGCAGUGGGGAAUAUUGGACAAUGGGCGCAAGCCUGAUCCAGCCAUGCCGCGUGAGUGAUGAAGGCCCUAGGGUUGUAAAGCUCUUUUGUGCGGGAAGAUAAUGACGGUACCGCAAGAAUAAGCCCCCGGCUAACUUCGUGCCAGCCG
rnacentral:rRNA from 1 species